CCCUUAGAUGUUCUGGGCCGCACGCGCGCUACACUGACGAAGUCAGCGAGCAUGUCCUACGCCGACAGGUGCGGGGAAUCUUGUCAAACUUCGUCGUGAUGGGGAUUGAUUAUUGAAAUUCUUGAUCAUCAACGAGGAAUUCCUAGUAAGCGCAAGUCAGCAGCUUGCGUUGAUUACGUCCCUGCCCUUUGUACACACCGCCCGUCGCUACUACCGAUUGAAUGGUUUAGUGAGAUCUUCGGAUUGGAGCCACUGCGGCUCAGCAAUGGGCUCGGUGGAUGCCGAAAAGUUGAUCAAACUUGAUCAUUUAGAGGAAGUAAAAGUCGUAACA
rnacentral:rRNA from 1 species